rnacentral:tRNA from 1 species
CAAGGCAUAGCUCAGUGGUAGAGUGCGUGCUUAGCAUACACAAUGUCCUGGGUUUGAUCCCUAGUACCUUCA